rnacentral:rRNA from 1 species
AGAGUUUGAUCCUGGCUCAGAACGAACGCUGGCGGCAUGCCUAACACAUGCAAGUCGAACGCUCUUGGGGCUUUGGUUCCAAGGGAGUGGCGCACGGGUGAGUAGCGCGUGGGAACCUGCCCUGUUGUGGGGGAUAACCGAGGGAAACUUCGGCUAAUACCGCAUACGCCGGUUGUCUUGAGAGAGAUGGCCGGGAAAGAUUGAUCGCAGCAGGAGGGGCCCGCGUCGGAUUAGGUAGUUGGUGGGGUAACGGCCUACCAAGCCUGUGAUCCGUAGCUGGUCUGAGAGGAUGAUCAGCCACACUGGGACUGAGACACGGCCCAGACUCCUACGGGAGGCAGCAGUGGGGAAUAUUGGACAAUGGGCGCAAGCCUGAUCCAGCAAUGCCGCGUGAGUGAUGAAGGCCUUCGGGUUGUAAAGCUCUUUCGCACGCGACGAUGAUGACGGUAGCGUGAGAAGAAGCCCCGGCUAACUUCGUGCCAGCAGCCGCGGUAAUACGAAGGGGGCGAGCGUUGUUCGGAUUUACUGGGCGUAAAGGGCGCGUAGGCGGCGAUGAAAGUCAGGCGUGAAAGCCCCGGGCUCAACCUGGGAGGUGCGCUUGGGACUACAUUGCUGGAGUUCGGGAGAGGAGCGUGGAAUUCCCAGUGUAGAGGUGAAAUUCGUAGAUAUUGGGAAGAACACCGGUGGCGAAGGCGGCGCUCUGGACCGAUACUGACGCUGAGGCGCGAAAGCGUGGGGAGCAAACAGGAUUAGAUACCCUGGUAGUCCACGCUGUAAACGAUGUGUGCUAGACGUUGGGGAGCCUAGCUCUUCGGUGUCGCCGCUA